UGCCCAGCAACUCCUAUCCCUACCUCCACGCGGUACCGGCCGGAAACUAUGAGCAACCUUAGGGAAGAUCGGGUAACCAACCCCGGUGGGACCUUUGGUCGUAGGCAGACAGGGAAGG
rnacentral:ribozyme from 1 species